CUCGUAGGCGGCUUAGUAAGUCGGGUGUGAAACCUCCAGGCUCAACCUGGAGACGCCACCCGAUACUGCUGUGGCUAGAGUCCGGUAGGGGAGCGUGGAAUUCCUGGUGUAGCGGUGAAAUGCGCAGAUAUCAGGAGGAACACCAGCGGCGAAGGCGGCGCUCUGGGCCGGUACUGACGCUGAGGAGCGAAAGCGUGGGGAGCAAACAGGAUUAGAUACCCUGGUAGUCCACGCCGUAAACGUUGGGCACUAGGUGUGGGUCGUUAUCAACGCGAUCUGUGCCGUAGCUAACGCAUUAAGUGCCCCGCCUGGGGAGUACGGCCGCAAGGCUAAA
rnacentral:rRNA from 1 species